ensembl:lncRNA
GCACACUCACCGAGAGGCGCGGCCUUCUGCGUGCCCCUCAUCUCGUAGCCGAGAGGAGCGCGCUCCGGGGCAGGCCUCCGAGUACUUCCCGCAGAGGACCGGGCUUUAUACUGCUCCUUUUCCUCCCCUAACGGAGUCUCGCCCCAUCACCCAGACUGGAGUGCCCUGGCAUGAUCUCGGCUCACUGCAACCUCUGCCUCCCGGGUUCAAGUGAUUCUUCUGCCUUAGCCUCCCCAGUAGCUGGGACUACAGAUUUAUUGGCAGAUACGUAAGCCACAUUAAGUAAUAUAAAAUGCAGUGAAUGCAUCAAACGACUCAGCAAGGACCCACUGACAGCCGGCGAGAGGCUGCCUCUUCGAAGAAGUCACUCUGAAUCAGAUACCUGUUUAUGCAUUUGUCGAACCAGGCUCUGAAUUUUUGUUUUAAAUGAAGACAUUAGUUCAAAACAAAAACGUCUCCAGCCAAACCCAUAACAUAUUGGGUGGCAGGAAGAGGGUGUACAGCCAACUUUAAAAUCUAAUCAAACGCUCAGGAUUUUGAGUGUGAACAUGCUUUGCUUCCCGUUUGGGGGGAAACACAACUUCUCGGGAGGAGAGAAGGGGCCCCCAGCAUAUUGUGUUUGAUUCUCCACAAGACAGUAGAGUAGCAUUUUGAUGAGGGAGAUGCAGACUGACCAAUAACGUCUUUUGGGAAAUUCUUACUGCCUUGAUACAGAGAAAGGAAGUACCAAUGAGGAAAUGAGUAUUGCACAGUGCUAUGUGCUAUAACCACUUGAAACAGAACUGGGAGAAUUUGUGUAAGACCUAUACCCCCAUCCUUGAUGCCAUCAAAGGCAAGGUCCCAAUGUGUCAAAGCAGAAAGAGAAUGAGUCUGGCAGUCAAGAGACCCAGUUCCUAGCUGGGGCAGCUGUGUCACCUUGGGCAACUGCCACCCUCUCCCUCGAGGUCAUGACGGGAUGCCUGGCAUCCCUUCCUGCACAAAAAUCCCUUGAUUCCUUAAACAAUGAUGUCCAAAUGAUUGAUGUAAGAGAAAUGAGAUCACAGGAUACUGGGGACACCUGAACCAGCCGUGAAUUACUUGAGAAGAUUCAGGCCCUGGCAUUAAGCCAAGCAGAAAAAUGAUGGACAUGUGGUUUCAUGGGGAACUUCUAAUUCACCUUCUUGUGACUGUUAUAUUUUACUGUUAACCAUUCCCUUUUAAAGAAAGCCUCGUGGGACUCAGAUGAAGGUACACUCCCUCCAAAAAAUGUUCUGGGUAAAUUCCACCCUACUAUGGUCUGUCCAGCCUCUGAAAAUUGACAGCCUUUUGUUUGCAUCACUUCAUACUGUCCAUGUGAACAAUUAAACAGUGUGGUUAAGGGCUCAGUUUCCAGAGUCAGAUGGCCCAAGUUUAAGUCCUGAUUCUGCCACUAUUAGCUGUGUGACCUUGGGCAAGACUCUUAACCUCCCUGAGGUUUUUCUAUUCUGUAAAAUUGGGAUGACAACAAUACUUUUGUUGACUGGAUGAUUGUGAUGAUGAUAUGAGAUCCAAUUUGUAAAGCAUUAACACAAAUGUGUCACAGAGUAAAAUUCUCAAUCUAUAUUAGAUAUUAUUAUUGUUGUGUUUCAUGCAUAUCCAUUUUGUCUUUUCUUCAUGAGAGUGUAAUUGAUUAAAGACAGAGUCACAGCACCA